CUUUUUAAUUCAACGUUGAAGAAAUUCAUAACCUGUGGCACUUUUGACAGCCGCCAUGUUUUCUCCAUAAAAACAUUGAUUUUCUUUGCUCAUUUUCGUGUCAACGUAGUUUUUUUGGAAAAUAAGAAGAAAGGAAGUUUAACUUACUUAGAGAAAUACGACUGAGACAUAAACACAAGCAGCAGCCGAUGUGCUUGAGUAGCAGAAGGAGCAACUGCGUUGUGAGAGGGCCACGGCUUCAGCCCUCACAAUGAUAGCUGAUUAGCUGAAGUAAUGAACAGACAGGCUGCAGUCAAUGAGAGGCUUCUUGAGGAGGGGUUCCUCAUAUGGAAAAAGGCUAAUGAAAGGAACAAUCAAGACCAGACUUAAGG